AGCAGAUUGUGUACAAAGUGUGCCUUGUACUUUUUACUCUUUUGGUCCUGGUCAGAACUGAUGGUGGUUCCUCUCUCCUUGUUUCUGUUCAUGUAUGAUUUCAGGACAACAAAGAAUGGUGACAUGGAGAUUACUCGUCUAAUAUAUUUUGGGAAGAAGUAUUUGCAUUGGAUAGUCCUGACAACAUUUGGAUACAUGACUUAUACAUUCCCUUGCUCCUGUUGCGGUGUACUCGAUUUGCUCAUCAAACUAUCCUGCAAGAACCUGCUGCGUUACUAGUGAAACACAUUGAUGAAAUACAUCGCCCCAAUUCUGAGAUGCAUGAGCGUGUCAUUGGACUACCAUGACAGAUGAAAGGGUUGCCGUGCACAUCACUGUGCUUGGUUUACCUUGGGCUCAUCAUCAAGGACGAUGGCAGCAGUCGGGCAC